rnacentral:tRNA from 1 species
UAAAAGAUAAGCUCGUGUAAGCUAAAGGGUACAUGUCCCUUUAACGGCCCCUCUUUUGA